ensembl:lncRNA
GUAGUUUUUGUCUGUUUCUGGUUGUUAUUUUUCUAUUUGUGGUGGUUUUUGUCUGUUUCUGGUUGUUGUUUUCUAUUUGUGGUGGUUUUACGUCUGUUUCUGGUUGUUGUUUUUUUCUGUUUCUAGUUGUUUUUUUUCUAUUUGUGGUUUUAUGUCUGCUGCAACAACCGAUCAUUAUGGUGAUCAUGUGGUAAUUACCAUUCUGCUACCCGUUCUUCAGGUGUGUCCUUGGAAUCAUGUCAGCAGAAGACAGAUGGUCAUUAAUUCAUUGUUUUACUUGAGCUUAGUGGGUAAAAACACAUUCAGUGUUUCGAGUGUUUUGAUUUAUCAUAGAUAAAAAACACAGAGCUAAUGUAAUCAGACGCCAAGGGGCUUGGUCAGUCUGUAACAUGACACCAGAGGGCGUGGUCAGUUGGUAAUAUGACAUCACGGGGGCGUGGUUAGUCUGUAAUAUGACACCAGAGGGCGUGGUCAGUCUGUAAUAUGAUACCAGGGGGAGUGGUCAGUCUAGGAUUACAAACACAGAUCUUAUCAGUAGAUAAAUAAAUAGACACAUCAGGAAAUAAAUCAAUAAAUAGACACAGAAAUCAAUAAAUACUUAGAUGAGUAAAAUCAUUCAUAAGGGUUUCCAUGGCAAGAUGAGAUAAUGGCACAUUACUAUUGCAUUCUGGGUAAAUACAGAGCUGAGUUUUAGCUGGUUACAGUGCUAACAAUCAUGCUGUUUUUACAUUUUACAAACAGCUGGCACCAGCAGAAACCUCUAGGUGUUACUGCUAACCUGGCGUUAGCUGUUUGCUGAAUGUAUCAUAAAGCUGAUCUCCCAUCACAGAAUCAGAAGCAAACACACCUGAGUCGACCAGCCAAUCAGAUGUCUGCUCUAACCUGUGAAGGAGUGAGGUGUGACAGCAGGGCUUGUUUCAGUAAAAGCAUCAGGAGCUUGGUUUAUGGUGAAAGUUCAUCUGAGGUCAACCAGCUGUGGUUGUCUGUUGCCGUGCGAACAUGUUGAUGGCAUCACAGCAGCGAUACCUGUCUGUGUCUCACCUGUCCUUCUCUCUUACUUGUCUUGCUUAAAUGGUUGUGUGAAAAUGUCGCCACACCAACUUUCGGCCUAAAAUAAUAAUAUCAUCAAGCUAAUACUAACUGUUCAGAAGCUAACUUGGCUACUGGCCCCGCCCCUAGGCAGGCAGACAGACAGUUGCUGCUGUGUGUGUGUGUGUGUGUGUGUGUGUGUGUGUGUGUGUGUGUGUGUGUCCAAGUGAGCAUGCAUGAGUGUGUCUGAGUGUAAAUCCUCAUUUCCACUGUCGUCCACUGAGUGUCGCUGCAAACAGUGUCUUUGUUGGUUCUGUAGUCGGGAC